AAGUAGACUUUGGGGGGCUUCUGUC
rnacentral:piRNA from 1 species